UUGCUUCAGCAGCAUAUAUACUAGAAUUGGAAUGAUACGGAGAAGAUUAGCAUGGCCCCUGCGCAUGGAUGAUAUGCAAAUUCAUAAAGCAUUCCAUAUUUUU